UUUAAAUGUAAAUUUUUGAACUAAAUUAGUAAUAGAUAUGAUCUUCAAAUUUAAAGAUUUUGGCGGUAUUUUAGUCUAUUCAGAGGAACCUGUUCUGUAAUUGAUAGUCCACGAUUAACUUUACUUAAUUUUAAAAAUUUGUAUAUCGUUGUUUAUAGAAAAUUUUAUAAGAAAAAUAAUUUUUAAUAAAUUUAAUUAAAUUAUAAAUCAAAUCAAGGUGCAGUUUAUAGUUGAGGUAGAAAUGGGUUACAAUAAAUUUAUUUAUUAAUGGAUAUAAAUUUUAAAAUUUUAUUAAAGGUGGAUUUGAUAGUAAUAUUAUUUAAUUAAAUAAUAUGAUUAUAGCUCUAAAAUAUGU
rnacentral:rRNA from 1 species